CCUACGGGUGGCUGCAGUGAGGAAUAUUGGUCAAUGGGCGCAAGCCUGAACCAGCCAAGUCGCGUGAGGGAUGACGGUCCUAUGGAUUGUAAACCUCUUUUGUCGGGGAGCAAGGCCCGCCACGUGUGGCGGGAAGGAGAGUACCCGAAGAAAAAGCAUCGGCUAACUCCGUGCCAGCAGCCGCGGUAAUACGGAUGAUGCGAGCGUUAGCCGGAUUUAUUGGGGUUAAAGGGUGCGUAGGCGGAAGGUUAAGUCAGCGGUAAAAUGGCGGUGCUCAACACCGGCCUGCCGUUGAAACUGGUCGUCUUGAGUGAGCGAGAAGUAGGCGGAAUGCGUGGUGUAGCGGUGAAAUGCAUAGAUAUCACGCAGAACUCCGAUUGCGAAGGCAGCAUACCGGCGCUCAACUGACGCUGAGGCACGAAAGCGUGGGGAUCGAACAGGAUUAGAUACCCCGGUAGUC
rnacentral:rRNA from 1 species